rnacentral:tRNA from 1 species
RAGGGCUUAGCUUAAUUAAAGUAGUUGAUUUGCGUUCAGCUGAUGUGGGUUUAUUCCUGCAGCUCUUA